AGCGGGGUAGAACAGCCUGGAGUGUUCGCCGGGCCCAUAACCCGGAGGUCGCGUGGUUCAAAUCCCGCCCCCGCUA
rnacentral:tRNA from 1 species